UGUAUGUCUUCUUUGGAGAAAUGCCAGGUGGGCAUCUUACAUCAAGUUCACUUGCCACAGGCACAGUGCACAGAAAGCCACCUUCUUGCCAAAAGUCUUGUGUGUUCCCAUCUUCUGGCUGCCCUCAAAAUUUCUCACUCCACACCCCAGUUCAUCUCAUCCAAAGGCCCAUUUCCUACCCUCUCACCUCACUCAGGUCUGGAAGGGGGAUGGCAGCUAAACUCAUAAAUUGAUUCAGGUGAAGUGAAUUAUAAAGAUGCUUCCCAGCUGUGGCUCAUUCCUUGAAGAGCAGAGGGGUUGUGAAAUUCAGGGCCAAGCAUUCCCCCCUCUUAAACUCUGCAUUUUUCUAUCCUUCCCAGAAAUUAUGCUUCUUUGGGGCAGAUUCUGGAGAAACUCAAAGCCAAAGGAGGAACUAAAAGGGAAUCUUGAGAUUAACAGGUUAACAGAAGCCAUUUCUUAGAAGGGAAUUUUUGAAUACCACCUUUUAGUAAUACGCCAGCUUCCUUAAAGACACAAAUCCUGGGGAUGCUUAGGAAAACCACAGACUCCCUAUCUUCUGAAUCAUAAUUUCCAGGGAAGAGCCCUGAAUUAUAAGCACUUGAGGUGACUCUUAACAGGGAAGUUGGGUGAACAAAGAAUUUUAUAUUUUCCCUGUGAAGAGACUGGCUCUUAUUUUCCAAUCAAGACUGCUGCUGGGAGCAAGAGGCUGCCCUUUUUUUGGUAGGGGGAGGGGAAGAGGGCAAGAUGCAGAGACCAUUAACAUUCAUUAGAAACUCCACCUGGCUUUCACUGCAGCUGGUCAGGAAACUAGCAAGGGGGCGGGAGCUAGCGGCUGAUUGAGAGGGAGUGAGCCAAUGAGAAACAGAGGAACCACUGCCCACCCAGAGUGCUUUGGGACAGCGGGUGGGACUAGUCUCCACCGCCUAUAAAAAGUACCCUCAGUUUGUCCAGAAGCAGUGCUGCUCGUUUGGUGGUAGUUGCUGGCGCUGGGGUGGGUGGAAAGGUGUCCGUAAAGGCUCCACGGAGCUGGAGUUAGGAAAGUGGAAAAAGACGAGGAGGGGUAUAAAGCUGUUGCUGCUGCUUUUCUUUUUUUUCUCUCUACUUUCAUAAAGGGAAAGUUCUGGGAAAAGCAGGGACUUCCUCCAAACGCUAGCCUUUCUUGGCGCUCUCGUGGGGGGGGGGGGCUCUUUUUUCUUUACAGAUAGUCAUGGGGCUGUAAGACUACAGGUGCCUGUUUUUCUCUAGGGGGCUCUUUCUGCCUGCUUUUUCACCCUGAAAAUGCUUUUCUUGGGUUUUCUCAACUGGAGAAAAAUCUUUUACAAACCUCUCAGUGGUUAAAGUUAUUUCCUCUUAGGAAAGCUUUUUCCUUUCGCAAGGAUCGCUUUCUGGGAGUGGGUUCUAGGAAUGAACAGCCCUAUUGGUAAGGAUAGAGAAAGAUCAGCUUUGCCAAAACUCCACUGGGAACUGCUAUGGAGCACUCGGGGCUCUGAGUUGGUGUAUAUGUGUCAAAAGAAUGACCAUGCUGUCUCUCACUCCCGAAAGCCAAAAACUUACGCUCCUAGCAGGCAGUGACUUAGUUUCAGCCCUGCCAGUGAUAGGUGAUAAACUCAACUUUCCUUGCUCUUGCUAAAGUCUCUGUUCGGUACAACCUGAGGCCUAAUUUGUGGCCGCCUCUUGGAAAUAGCAGUCCUGUUGGCUUUCCUAUUGAUUCUCUAAGUGUCCUAAAGUUCUCUCCUGGGAACAAGCUUCUACAGAAUAGACCCACUAUCUGCAAAACCUUGCUAGCUGUGAACUCAUAUCGGGCAAAACCUAAAAAUUGAGGGAGCCCUGGAGUAGAAAGUGAAUGCAGGAGGCUUGAAGGGAGUGGAUGCCUGCCUGGAGCUGUCUGAAAUCUGAAGGCUUCAAAUUCAGGCCGUGGCUGAAACUGAAAAUGAGGCUGAGCCUGGCUGCCUGAAAGGAGAACAGAAUCUUAAGGACUAGAGAUCAGAAUUAUUCCUCACUGUUGAAGAGCUUUUCUUAACUAAAGAUCUCUUAUGCCAGAUUCAGGGUAAUCUACCAGGUUGUAGCUUGUUGCCCAAGGAUAUAUGGGCCAACUUAACCCAGAUGGAUUCGGAUAGUCCUUCCCCAAAAGUCAGGUCAAUUCUGAUCUUAACCUGGGGUAUGGUGAGUCAGACUGCAGUUUUCUUGCUGAGCAUGUACGGUUUUCCUUGGAGCCCUCAGAUUCAGCCAGACUUUGAAUAUGAAACAGGCCAUUCGAGGGUUAUUUCUU